AGACCCGAAACCCGGUGAUCUAGCCAUGGGCAGGUUGAAGGUUGGGUAACACUAACUGGAGGACCGAACCGACUAAUGUUGAAAAAUUAGCGGAUGACCUGUGGCUGGGGGUGAAAGGCCAAUCAAACCGGGAGAUAGCUGGUUCUCCCCGAAAGCUAUUUAGGUAGCGCCUCGUGAACUCAUCUCCGGGGGUAGAGCACUGUUUCGGCUAGGGGGCCAUCCCGGCUUACCAACCCGAUGCAAACUGCGAAUACCGGAGAAUGUUAUCACGGGAGACACACGGCGGGUGCUAACGUCCGUCGUGAAGAGGGAAACAACCCAGACCGCCAGCUAAGGUCCCAAAGUCAUGGUUAAGUGGGAAACGAUGUGGGAAGGCCCAGACAGCCAGGAUGUUGGCUUAGAAGCAGCCAUCAUUUAAAGAAAGCGUAAUAGCUCACUGGUCGAGUCGGCCUGCGCGGAAGAUGUAACGGGGCUAAACCAUGCACCGAAGCUGCGGCAGCGACACUUUAGUGUUGUUGGGUAGGGGAGCGUUCUGUAAGCCGUUGAAGGUGUCCUGUGAGGGGUGCUGGAGGUAUCAGAAGUGCGAAUGCUGACAUAAGUAACGAUAAAGCGGGUGAAAAGCCCGCUCGCCGGAAGACCAAGGGUUCCUGUCCAACGUUAAUCGGGGCAGGGUGAGUCGACCCCUAAGGCGAGGCCGAAAGGCGUAGUCGAUGGGAAACGGGUUAAUAUUCCCGUACUUGGUGUUACUGCGAAGGGGGGACGGAGAAGGCUAUGUUGGCCGGGCGACGGUAGUCCCGGUUUAAGCGUGUAGGUGUGUGUUCCAGGUAAAUCCGGUUCACUUUAACACUGAGGCGUGAUGACGAGGCACCACGGUGCUGAAGCAACAAAUGCCCUGCUUCCAGGAAAAGCCUCUAAGCAUCAGGUAACAUCAAAUCGUACCCCAAACCGACACAGGUGGUCAGGUAGAGAAUACCAAGGCGCUUGAGAGAACUCGGGUGAAGGAACUAGGCAAAAUGGUGCCGUAACUUCGGGAGAAGGCACGCUGACAC
rnacentral:rRNA from 1 species